rnacentral:snoRNA from 1 species
GUCGACAAUACUUCAAAGAAUCAUUUCUAUAGUUAUUGUCCUCUUCUAGGUUCUCAAAAAGAGCCAGAAACCCCACCCGGGUUGAUGACUUUAUAUCCUCGACUUGCCCGUUUUUACGAAAACUUUAGCUGCGCUUUUGCCGGCGUGCUUUGGGGUCUUCACGGAUCCCGUUACCCUCGCUUCUGCCUGCAAAGGCAGCGGACCAGGAAGUGCGUCUGUGUCUUCGGAUGCAGAUGUCUUCUAGGACUGUAUUCAACAGAGGGUGGUGAUGAGCUAUACCCUGGACUGGAGGUCUGCUUCUCCUUUGGAGGGCGCUCUGCCAGGGUGGGUGUCGAUGGACGUCUGACCGGC